rnacentral:rRNA from 1 species
AUGCCGGCGCCGGCGCAAGAAGCGGACGACGACUUCACCUUCCCCACGCCGCCGCCGCUCCUCGCCGCAGCCGCGUGCAGCUACGGCCACCACCGCCACAACAACAGGGUGUCGCCGUCGCCGUCGCCCUCCUCCUCCCCGCUUCCCGCGUGGCUGCUCUCCUCGCCCAUCCGCCGCAGCUUCUCCGCCGCGGACUGCGCCGCGUCGCCGUGGCGCGCGGCGCGCGGCAGGUGCUGCUCCCCCGCCCUGAGCGACUAUGCCGCCGGGUUCUGCGACGGCGGGGACGAAGAGGAGGAGAUGAUGGACAGCCUCUGGGAGGACCUCAACGACGACGAGGCGCCGGGCGGGGAGAGGAACGAUCUGCUCAUCGCCUCCCUCGACGUGUCGCGCCGGCGCUCCGUCGGAGGCCCGGGCCACCCCGUCGACGGGAGGAGGCCGACGGCCCCGGCGAAGGAGCGCGAGGCCGCGGCGGUGCUCGCGGCGUCGAGGAGCUCCCGACGGCGCUCCCCGGGGCUGGUGGUGAUGAUGCGCGCGCUCAAGAAGAUGUUCGUCGCGCACAAGAGCAGGAGCAAAGUGCACAAGGUCGACGAGCAGAGCACCGCCUCUGCUUCUUCCGGCAAUUCCUUCAAGAAAUGA